AUUGAACGCUGGCGGCAGGCUUAACACAUGCAAGUCGAACGAGUGGCGGACGGGUGAGUAAUGCUUGGGAAUCUGGCUUAUGGAGGGGGAUAACGACGGGAAACUGUCGCUAAUACCGCGUACCAUAGGAUGAGCCCAAGGGGGAUUAGGUAGUUGGUGGGGUAAUGGCCUACCAAGCCGACGAGCUCUAGCUGGUCUGAGAGGAUGACCGGCAACACGGGGACUGGGAAACGGCCCGAAUGCCUACGGGAGGCAGCGGUGGGGAAUAGUGCGAAAGGGGGGAAACCUGACGCAGCCAUGCCGCGUGAAUGAAGAAGGCCUUCGGGUUGUAAAGUUCUUUCGGUGACGAGGCGUUAAUCACAGAAGAAGCACCGGCUAACUCCGUGCCAGCAGCCGCGGUAAUAC
rnacentral:rRNA from 1 species